AUGUGCCGGAGGCCGAGGUCGCGGAAGAGCACGGCGGCCUUGGCCAGCGACAUGUUCUCCAGGACGGUGUAGGGCGACCGGUUGGUGAUCGGGUGGAGGUCCACGUACAUGUCCAUCUCCUCCUCGGUGAGCCUCAGCUCGUCCACCUCCAUCGCCUUCCCCGACGACCCCACCUUGGCGAAGCCGAAGGGCUUGAGCUUGCGGAACACCUCGGCGGCGCCGGUCUUGACGGGGGCCCUCGUGAAGGUCCUGCCGUUGAGCAGCACGAUCAGGUGGGAGCGCAGCACCAGGCCGCACAGCUCCGGCGCCGGCGCGAACGGCUCCUCCUCGAUCACUGGGAACCCGUUGUGGCCCGUGCGCCGCAGCGUGUUCACCACGGAGCCGACGCGCUCCACGCUGGAGAAGGUGAUCACCGGCCCGGACAGCACGUCGCUGGCCACCAGGCUUCGCAUGCACGCGUCGGCGUGCACCUCCAGGAAGGGGAGCCCCUUCAUGCGCACGAUCUGCUCGUAG
rnacentral:rRNA from 1 species